rnacentral:rRNA from 1 species
UAGGGUUCGAUCAUGGCUCAGAACGAACGCUGGCGGCAGGCCUAACACAUGCAAGUCGAGCGCGCCUUUCGGGGUGAGCGGCGGACGGGUUAGUAACGCGUGGGAACGUACCCUUUUCUGCGGAAUAGCCUCUGGAAACGGAGAGUAAUACCGCAUACGCCCUUUGGGGGAAAGAUUUAUCGGAGAAGGAUCGGCCCGCGUUAGAUUAGAUAGUUGGUGGGGUAACGGCCUACCAAGUCUACGAUCUAUAGCUGGUUUUAGAGGAAGNAUAGCCACACUGGGACUGAGACACGGCCCAGACUCCUACGGGAGGCAGCAGUGGGGAAUCUUGGACAAUGGGCGCAAGCCUGAUCCAGCCAUGCCGCGUGAGUGAAGAAGGCCUUAGGGUCGUAAAGCUCUUUCGCCUGUGAUGAUAAUGACAGUAGCAGGUAAAGAAACCCCGGCUAACUCCGUGCCAGCCGCCGCGGUAAUACA